CGGGGGGAGCAAGCGUUGUUCGGAUUUACUGGGCGUAAAGGGCGCGUAGGCGGUCAGCACAAGUCAGUUGUGAAAUCUCCGGGCUUAACUCGGAAAGGUCAACUGAUACUGUGCGACUAGAGUGCGGAAGGGGCAACUGGAAUUCUCGGUGUAGCGGUGAAAUGCGUAGAUAUCGAGAGGAACACCUGCGGCGAAGGCGGGUUGCUGGGCCGACACUGACGCUGAUGCGCGAAAGCCAGGGGAGCGAACGGUAUUAGAUACCCCGGUAGUCCUGGCCUUAAACGAUGGAUGCUUGGUGUCUGGAGUUUUAUAGUCUCCGGGUGCCGUAGCUAACGCGUUAAGCAUCCCGCCUGGGGAGUACGGUCGCAAGACUG
rnacentral:rRNA from 1 species